GGCCGCAGUAUUUUGACUGUGCAAAGGUAGCAUAAUCAUUAGUCUUUUAAUUGAAGGCUGGUAUGAAUGGUUGGAUGAGGUGAAUUCUGUUUUAUAUUAAUUAUAAUUGAAUUUAGAUUUUAAGUAAAAAGACUUAAAUGUAAUUAAGGGACGAGAAGACCCUAUAGAGUUUUAUAAGUGUAGUAAAUUAAUUAGGUUAUUUAAAAAUUUUUUGUUAUUAUGAAAUUUAUUUGAUUGGGGUGAUUAGAAAAUAUAAAGAACUUUUCUUUAAAUUAAAUAUUAUAAUUAGUUUAAUGAUCCAUAAUUAAUGAUUAAAAGAUUAAAUUACCUUAGGGAUAACAGCAUAA
rnacentral:rRNA from 1 species